UACGUAGGUGGCAAGCGUUGUCCGGAUUUACUGGGCGUAAAGAGCGCGCAGGCGGUCGUUCAAGUCGCGUGUGAAAGCCCCCGGCUUAACUGGGGAGGGUCACGCGAUACUGGUCGACUCGAAGGCAGGAGAGGGUAGUGGAAUUCCCGGUGUAGUGGUGAAAUGCGUAGAUAUCGGGAGGAACACCGGUGGCGAAGGCGACUACCUGGCCUGUUUCUUGACGCUGAGGCGCGAAAGCUAGGGGAGCAAACGGG
rnacentral:rRNA from 1 species